ACCGUGGUUAGAUUGUUUCAAAUAACUUUCCCCAUUUGUGCCGAUCAAGAAUUACAAUUUAUAUUAUUAAGUGCCCAAACGGCACAAGGAGGAUUUUAUUAUGGAACAAGGUACAGUUAAAUGGUUUAACGCUGACAAAGGUUUUGGUUUUAUCACUCGUGAAGAUGGCAGUGAUGUAUUCGUACAUUUCUCAGCUAUUCAGGGCGACGGCUUCAAAACUUUAGACGAAGGUCAGCAUGUAACUUUUGAUGUUGAACAGAGCGAUCGUGGACCGCAAGCUGUUAACGUUGUUAAAGACUAAUUUUAAUUAGACUGUUGCUGACAGUUUAAUAUUUAAAUUUGAUUUGAAGCAGGAUGAACGCUCAUCCUGCUUCUUU
rnacentral:sRNA from 1 species